GGCCUCGUAGCUCCGUUGGCUAGAGUGUUGGCUGUACUGAAGCCUUCUCCUUGCUGGUAUGGGUUCGAAUCCCACUGAGGCCG
rnacentral:tRNA from 1 species